AAUCAACGCUGGCGGCGUGCCUAACACAUGCAAGUCGAACGAGAAGGUGACUUCGGUCACUGGAUAGUGGCGUCCGGGUGAGUAACACGUAGGUAACCUACCUUCGGGUGGGGAAUAACGUCUCGAAAGAGACGCUAAUACCGCAUAAUGCAGCGGCACCUAAUGGUGAUUAGUUGUUAAAGCGGGGGAUCUUCGGACCUCGCGCCUGAAGAGGAGCCUGCGGCAGAUUAGCUAGUUGGUGAGGUAAUGGCUCACCAAGGCUUCGAUCUGUAGCUGGUCUGAGAGGACGGCCAGCCACACUGGCACUGACAC
rnacentral:rRNA from 1 species